UAUUUUUCAGAUUUUUUUGAUGAUAACUUUGGAUAAUGUUCAGUUAAGAGAUUUAGGCGAUUAUGUGAAUUUGGCCUGGAAUCGAUGGAUAGAUAGGAAGAGAACGUAAUCUAUGAGUACCGGGCUAAAUGGAUUAAUAGCAUGUUGGUGGGUCAAGUCAAGAGUGGUGCGAUUUUUAAAAUGACUCAGCCAGACCCAAUUCGUGGAUUCUACAAAAUAAAAUAGCUAACGAAUCCAUAAGAGCAACUUCUCUUGGCAGAGAGGCAUCACUAUGAUCGUUAGCCUUUCUUCUUUUUUCUUUUUGUCGUUUUGUUUUCACCAUUCUUCAGACCUAUGAUGCCUCACUAAUGUAGCUUAGUUCACCUACAGAAUGAAAAAACAUUGUUCACUCUU
rnacentral:lncRNA from 1 species